rnacentral:rRNA from 1 species
GCUUGUGGCCAUACCACCCUGUCUGAUCUUGCUAGCUAAGCAGGGUCAGGCCUGGUAAGUACUUGGAUGGGUGACCACCUGGGAAUAGCAGAUGCUGUAAGCU